rnacentral:rRNA from 1 species
AUUGAACGCUGGCGGCAUGCCUUACACAUGCAAGUCGAACGGUAACGGGCCUUCGGGUGCCGACGAGUGGCGAACGGGUGAGUAAUGUAUCGGAACGUACCUUUCAGUGGGGGAUAACGUAGCGAAAGUUACGCUAAUACCGCAUAUUCUGUGAGCAGGAAAGCAGGGGAUCGCAAGACCUUGCGCUGAUUGAGCGGCCGAUAUCAGAUUAGCUAGUUGGUGAGGUAAAGGCUCACCAAGGCGACGAUCUGUAGCGGGUCUGAGAGGAUGAUCCGCCACUGGAACUGAGACACGGUCCAGACUCCUACGGGAGGCAGCAGUGGGGAAUUUUGGACAAUGGGGGCAACCCUGAUCCAGCCAUGCCGCGUGAGUGAAGAAGGCCUUCGGGUUGUAAAGCUCUUUCGGCCGGGAAGAAAUCGUAUCAGCUAAUAGCUGGUGCGGAUGACGGUACCGGCAUAAGAAGCACCGGCUAACUACGUGCCAGCCGCCGCAGUAAUAC